rnacentral:rRNA from 1 species
ACCGGGCGCCGGGAAAUGUGGUGUUAGGGAGGAUCCGUUUAUCCCGAGGUCGUGCGGUGCGUCCAAGUCCUUCUUGAACGGGGCCACAGCCCAUAGAGGGUGCCAGGCCCGUAGCGACCGCUGCCGAUCGCGGGAGGAUCUCUCCUCAGAGUCGGGUUGCUUGAGAGUGCAGCCCUAAGCGGGUGGUAAACUCCAUCUAAGGCUAAAUAUGACCACGAGACCGAUAGCGAACAAGUACCGUGAGGGAAAGUUGAAAAGCACUUUGAAGAGAGAGUUCAAGAGUACGUGAAACCGUUCAGGGGUAAACCUGAGAAACCCGAAAGGUCGAAAGGGGAAAUUCAUUCGCGUCUCGGCAGUCGGAGCGGUGACGAUCGAGCGACGGACGGCGUACGCGUCGUCCGCGCCUUUCGUUUCGCUAUCCGGCGUCGAACGCGUGCACUUUUCCCCUAGUAGGACGUCGCGAUCCGUUGGGUGUCGGUUUAAGGCCCGCGGUGGAGCCCGAGUGCGCGUUUUCGGACGUUCGCGCUCGGACCCGCGGUGUCCCGGCCGACCCGCUCGACGGUAUACAGAUGGCGCGAGGCCGCUACUCAGUUAGCGUUCGGCCCGCGGCAAGCGCGCUCGGUGUCGAUGGCGAUCGGACCUGGUGCCGAUCCCGUCCCCGGGCGACUGUUGGCCGCGGUGUUUCCUCGAACAGACCUCGAUUCUUGAAACGCCGAUCUGCGACGCUAUAGCUUUGGGUACUUUCAGGACCCGUCUUGAAACACGGACCAAGGAGUCUAGCAUGUGCGCGAGUCAUUGGGACAUAACUAAACCUAAAGGCACAAUGAAAGUGAAGGUCCGCCUUGCGCGGACCGAGGGAGGAUGGGCGGUCCGUACUUCACGGUCGGUCGUUCCGCACUCCCGGGGCGUCUCAUUCUCAUCGCGAGAAGAGGCGCACCAAGAGCGUACACGCUGGGACCCGAAAGAUGGUGAACUAUGCCUGGUCAGGACGAAGUCAGGGGAAACCCUGAUGGAGGUCC